AGCUCAGCUGGUAGAGCCGACGCCUCUUAAGCGUAAGGUCGUGAGUUCGAGCCUCACAUGGCCCA
rnacentral:tRNA from 1 species